AUCACUUUCAAUAAUUACUGAUUUGACUAGCCAGUGGUUAUAUUUUUGUCAAUGACUGUGUUUUGUUAGUAAUUGUCCUUGUAUUUCUUUGAUAUUUCAAUCAAAUUCCGCCACGUCGUAGUCAUGAUGCACACAGCAAUCGAAGAAAGUGAGUGUUGGAAACUCAACUCUGAUAUUUUUAGUCAGGAGAUGGGGAGUAACAAAAAGAAAAACAAGGAUUCUUUGUUUGAUGUUCAAUUACAGAUUGGCCACGUCGUAACCCACUUGUAGUCCCCAAACAUAUAGGCCAUGGACCUACUUCGAAAAUUGUGAUUUUUUCAUGUGUCCAUCGAGGAAGCAGAGACUUUUUUAACUAUCAUUGAUCUUGCUGCUGUAGUAGUACUUAUAUAUAUAUAUAUCAACUUUAAUUUGCAAGUUAUACAAUGUCAAUAGUAUAACUUGCAAAUUGAUAAGAAUAUCGAUUAUUUUAUCUUGAAUUAAUAGUCAGAGAAGGGUGAAAUCAAUAUAAUGUUUUUACGUCUUAGCCAAUCAAA